UACGUAGGGUGCGAGCGUUAAUCGGAAUUACUGGGCGUAAAGCGUGCGCAGGCGGUUAUGUAAGACAGAUGUGAAAUGCCCGGGCUUAACCUGGGAACUGCAUUUGUGACUGCAUGGCUAGAGUUUGGCAGAGGGGGGUGAGAAUUCCACGUGUAGCAGUGAAAUGCGUAGAUAUGCGGAGGAACACCGAUGGCGAAGGCAGGUCUCUGGGCUGACACUGACGCUCAUGCACGAAAGCGUGGGGAGC
rnacentral:rRNA from 1 species